GGGGGGGAAGCCAACGGUACGGCAAGCCUUCCCCUGGCAGGGGAAGGUGCCCCGCAAAGCGGGGCGGAUGAGGUCGAAUCUUCCCCCCCCU
rnacentral:tRNA from 1 species